CCAAAACUCAGUUAAAAAUUGAAAGUAUUCUAAUUCUCAGUUACCGUGAAUCAUUUAUCUCCCUUUCUCGAUCAUUUGCAUUUCUGUGUAGAAAGUAGACGAAACUUCCUGUUUACACUUCUCCACGAGACAGCCCUCGGUCGUAGAUGUGGUAAAGGGUGAGCUGUUCCUGGACCAUCAGAACUUCGACUAUUUUGUUUCUUUAUUUCGUAGAUUUAUCUUAUCUUC